rnacentral:rRNA from 1 species
UGGGGAAUAUUGCACAAUGGGGGAAACCCUGAUGCAGCGACGCCGCGUGGAGGAAGAAGGUCUUCGGAUUGUAAACUCCUGUUGUUGGGGAAGAUAAUGACGGUACCCAACAAGGAAGUGACGGCUAACUACGUGCCAGCAGCCGCGGUAAAACGUAGGUCACAAGCGUUGUCCGGAAUUACUGGGUGUAAAGGGAGCGCAGGCGGGAAGACAAGUUGGAAGUGAAAUCUAUGGGCUCAACCCAUAAACUGCUUUCAAAACUGUUUUUCUUGAGUAGUGCAGAGGUAGGCGGAAUUCCCGGUGUAGCGGUGGAAUGCGUAGAUAUCGGGAGGAACACCAGUGGCGAAGGCGGCCUACUGGGCACCAACUGACGCUGAGGCUCGAAAGUGUGGGUAGCAAACAGGAUUAGAUACCCUGGUAGUCCACACCGUAAACGAUGAUUACUAGGUGUUGGAGGAUUGACCCCUUCAGUGCCGCAGUUAACACAAUAAGUAAUCCACCUGGGGAGUACGACCGCAAGGUUGAAACUCAAAGGAAUUGACGGGGGCCCGCACAAGCAGUGGAGUAUGUGGUUUAAUUCGACGCAACGCGAAGAACCUUACCAAGUCUUGACAUCCCUUGACAGACAUAGAAAUAUGUAUUCUCUUCGGAGCAAGGAGACAGGUGGUGCAUGGUUGUCGUCAGCUCGUGUCGUGAGAUGUUGGGUUAAGUCCCGCAACGAGCGCAACCCUUAUGGUCAGUUACUACGCAAGAGGACUCUGGCCAGACUGCCGUUGACAAAACGGAGGAAGGUGGGGAUGACGUCAAAUCAUCAUGCCCUUUAUGACUUGGGCUACACACGUACUACAAUGGCGUUAAACAAAGAGAAGCAAGACCGCGAGGUGGAGCAAAACUCAGAAACAACGUCCCAGUUCAGACUGCAGGCUGCAACUCGCCUGCACGAAGUCGGAAUUGCUAGUAAUCGCGGAUCAGCAUGCCGCGGUGAAUACGUUCCC